CAGCAUCAUCCAGAUUCACAU
rnacentral:miRNA from 1 species